rnacentral:rRNA from 1 species
UCGAAAUCCUGUGGCGGAAGGAUUCAGUCGAACGGUGAAGCCGUUCGAGUCGUGAUCAUUCGGUUCCGACUGGACCGCUCGAUUCGAACGCAGCAGAUCCUUACGACGCAUUUGUUUUCCGCCCGAAGGACGCCGCAACCGGUUGGGAGACGGCCUGAAAGUCGAGCGACGGCAGGUGGCCGGUGGCGUGCCUCGUGCGCGUCGUCGGUGUCUAGCCAGCUCCUCAUACGGCUCGUAUCUCGACCGUGGUGUCGCGAAGCCCGCUCAUGGGCUUCACCGCCUCCUCUUGUAAAAAGAUGCGCACUGGACGCGGCAGUGGUUCUUCAGCAGCAGCAGGCGCACAGACUGACUCUGUGGCCAGCAGCCUGGAGUCCUCGUUGGCUGUGCGGGAUGCGUUGGAGGCCGGCGGUUAGCGGCGAGUAGAUCGGUCACCCAUCCGACCCGUCUUGAAACACGGACCAAGGAGUCUAACAUGUGUGCGAGUCAAUGGGACUCGAAUAAGCCCAGAGGCGCAAUGAAAGCAAAGGUCGGACUCGAUUCCGGCUGUGUUGGGAUCCCCGGGCCUACGAGCUCGGGGCGCACCAGCGA